UACAGAGGUGGCAAGCGUUGUUCGGAAUUACUGGGCGUAAAGGGCGCGUAGGCGGUUUCGUAAGUCCUGUGUGAAAUCCCCCGGCUCAACUGGGGAACUGCACAGGAAACUGCGAGGCUUGAGUUCGGGAGAGGGAAGCGGAAUUCCGGGUGUAGCGGUGAAAUGCGUAGAUAUCGGAAGGAACACCAGUGGCGAAAGCGGCUUCCUGGUCCAGCACCGACGUUCAGGCACGAAAGCGUGGGGAGCAAACAGG
rnacentral:rRNA from 1 species